rnacentral:lncRNA from 1 species
AGAAAAUAUAAUUUUUGAUAAAUCAACAUGGCACUUUCCCAAAUUUUAUGGUUGAAUCGGCUUGGCUUUACUAAAUUUUCCUGCAUCAUAUUUCCUUUUCAUAAUCCUCUCCACAUGUUGUAACAUCGACAAACUAUUUUAUUCCAUUUGCAGAGCAUGAAUCAGUUAGUUUAAUGUGCAGAAUGCACACUUGGUAAAUGUGGGAAAGAAAUAUUGAGGGAGUGUUAGCUAGAAUUCUGUAUAAGUUUAGAAUGAAAACAAUUGAUCAUGUCUAAAUUUGAAAAUUUUAGGUUUGAGAUGAUAAGAAACUCCUAUCUCUUGUAUCUGGAGAAAGACAUUGAUGACAGAAAUAUAUUCUUUCCUGGGUUAUAUGCUAAAUUUGGUGUCAUUUGACCAUCUUGCUGCCAAGUAAUUUUCACUGAGCUCUAAUGUGCAAGGAUAAUACCAGUUAGAAACAAUACUGAAGAUGAUGUUGUUAUCAGCAGGGCAUUAAUAAUGAGUAAUAUGUAAACAAACGACUUUUCUUCUCAAGUCAGUUAAAUGCUUGAUCUUCUGGAAUAUCAGACAAAAUUGGAGAAGUUCACUCUUUUGUUUUCUUCUGUUCUGUUUUUAUCAUCCCCACUUUUGGCCCCAAAUCGUUUUGUUUGUUUGUUCAAC